rnacentral:lncRNA from 1 species
GCAUGUGCAGCAGUCUAGAUGUGCGGAGGAGUUCAAACUGAGGAUAAAGAAGAACGAUGAGCUCAAAGCUGCUGCUAAAGCCAAAGGCGAGACAAUAAGCACCAAGAGGCAGCCUAAAGGACCCAAACCAGGAUUCAUGGUUGAAGGUAUGACCUUAGAGACAGUCACUCCUAUCCCCUACGACGUCGUCAACGACCUCAAGGGAGGCUAUUAGUUCUUCUCUACUUUCUUCCCUAUUCUUGCUGUGUGUUUUGGAACUCUGCAUUUGUAGCCACUUGAACUAAAGAAUAUGAUUUAUAUGAGAAUUUUGCAAUCCAGUUUGUUUUUAUCAUAGUUCAAUUUUGUUUGUCAUAACCAUUGAUUCCAACCAAUUAGCCUAUACUCUUUUCAUUAUGAAAACAGUUGUUGACCAGUAUGAAUAAUUAUGAGUAUUUAAGUUAAAAGAUAUCUUCUGAAGAGAUACAGAUAGAGAAUUUGUAUUGGUUAUUCUGUUUGCUCGUAGAGUUUCCUAAAAUAGAUACACAGAAAGAAACCUCAUUUCAUCCGUUGCUUACCUAAAUUUUCUUUUAGGCUAUUUCAUGUAUUAUCACUCAGAGCAUCAUUAUCCCAAAGACCCAUUUAGGGUCUCUUAUUUUUUUUUAAUACUUUUAAGUAGUAAAAGUGAAUUAAGAGACUUAGUUAAGAGACUUGAACAUUUAUACGCUCCAAUGCAAGUCUCUUAAUGAAGGUUUCUUAAAAGUUAAAACUAUUUUCAUUGAAACUUAAAUGUACUUUAAAACCAAGUUUUUUUUAUCAAACUACUUUCAUUGAAAUAUAGAAGAGUUCAACUCCAUCAAUGGAGGAUACAAUAUAGCUACAAAAAGCCAAACAAACCAAAGCAUAGACCAAUAAACUGGACAAACAAAUAAGAAAGCUUAACCAUCUUCAAAACAAUGUUCCCUAUAACAAUUUCACUAAUAACAAAUCCAAGGAGAUAGCAAGUAAAGUUAACCUUAUUAAGUGUAACACACUUUGCAACCUUCACCAUAUAAUCAUAGAAUUCCUAACUAACAAUCAGAUCUAAGCCACGAGUCCAUAAGGUUCCUGCCAAAUAUGAGCUCAGUCCGAGCUCAUUUUCCCAACCAAACAAGACGAUCCAUCAACAUACCACUCUGUUUCACAAUGUACCAAACCUGUUCAGAAAUACAUGAAUAACUAAUAAACUAACCGUCCACUUUUCGAUCACACCGUUGAAUUCUGAGUCUGCAGUGUCCCCUACAUCUGUACAAAGUUUCAGUCAGAUCAGCAUACAAAUGAACCUCCCACGCUCUCUUGAAUUUGCUGCAACAGAACAGUUGAACCUCCCAGAUUUGAGCUGCUACUUCUGAUGCUUGCGUAGGAAGCAAGGCACACCACAACGAAGUCGUUACUCCAAUGACAGAGACGUCAGUUUCUAUGGCUUCCCUGCCACGUCCUCUAUUAAGAGAAACUCCAUAUGUGAUCUCCCAAACUCAUAUCUGAUCCGGAUCUCUUUUUCGAAACCCCAUCUCAAACUGUGUACUUCUUCUCCACCUUUGUUUCCUUCUUCUCUAGUUCACCUUUCUCCAUCUCACGUUCUUCUCCUUUUUCUCUUUAACUUCUUUCUCUUUUAUCGGCUGCUAGCCUCGUUUUAAUCUUUUAUUCAAUUGGAUUUAAAUAAGAUUUUAGAUUUAAGUCUACGAUCAGAUGAGAGUUUUGAAACCUGUGUGCGAAGAAGACGCGGCGGAGGAAAACGUGAGGUUGACGAGAAGUGAGUCUCUGAGUCGGCUGAUGGCGUCGGAGUCGUCGCGGAGAGGUCAUCGUCGGAGUCGCCGGUUGAUGGAGUCAGAGUCGUCGCUGAUGGGUCAUCGUGGAGGAGAGAUCAGCAGAUGGAGUCGGAGUCGCCGAGGAGACACAAAAGAAAGAGAGAGAAUGCUUUGGUAGAGAGAGAAAGGGAUGAGAUAAUGACACGUGUUCACAAAACCCGUCUCUUGUGUGGCUUAAUUAAGCGACGUCUCUUCUUUAAUUAGCCAAUUUUUCUUUUCUUUUAAAUCUGAAAACAUUGAAUACGGGCUUUAAGAGCCCGCGAUAAUGGUGCUCUCAUACUCCAACCUCUCUCUCCAUUAUUAUUGUUAAUAAUAAUACUUAAUAACAAAAUUCAAUGUAUACAACAAAAUCAUUAUAUAUUAAUGAUGUCGAAUAAAAAAACUUAGAUUAUAGAAUUAUAAAAUACAUUAAAAAAAUUACAGUAAUAUCAAAAUUUUACAUCUAUAAAAUGAAAAUAGUAUCCACAUAGGCGUUUGCUUCUUCUUUUUAGGCUGUAACUUUAGAAAAGAAAUCACACUUGAUUGGUAAAAUUUUGAUGUAACUUUAAAUUUUAAAAUUAGAACUACAUAAUGAUUGGUUAGAUAUUUUACUUUAAACUCCAACCAAUCAACCACGUCAAUUUUAUUUCAUUAAACGUACAUGAACUUAUUUGAAAUAGAUUUUGAACCGUAUUCACAUCAUUUUCGCCAACCUCGUCAAGAACACAAUGGCUUGCAGAGCGAGAGAACUUGUAUCGUUGUUUUUGUAUAAGAUUUGUGAUCCUAGAAGGUAUGUAACCGGGGGCUCUUUGAUCUAUUUUCCUCUUCUAUCAAUGUGUGUGUCGUCAUCUCAAAGUAUAUAUGAUGAAUCUAUAAGAUUUGCGAUUUGCAGGCAUAUAAUUGUGUUGGAAAAUUUAGCUAAAUUCUUAAGAGAUUGGUCUGAUUUUCGGAGUGAUUGUUUUUGACCUUGUAGAUCUGAUUACAAAAUUGAGGAACAUGUGGGAGAAGAAGCAGAGGCAAAACUCAACAGGUUUGUCAAUUCUUUUUGAAAAGUCUGUGUGUUUUCUUCAAGAUCACAUAGACAUAUCUUAACAAAAUAUUUUGUAAAUGGUUUUUUUUUUGGUGUCAGGCUGAGAACAAGCACCCUAGUUCAUGAACUGGAAGCAGAUGCAGAACUCAAGAGGUUUCUUCUUCUUUCAAUGUUUUAAAUAACUGACAUUUGUGUCCCCCGUCAAAUAAAUGUUUAAUGAUUGGUUUCUUGGUGUCAGGCUGAAAACACCUUUAAAGAAACCAGAAGCACAACUCAAUAUGUCUGAGGCAGAAGAACUCAAGAGGUUUUGUUCUUAUUUUCUCUCUAUUACAUGAGCCCUGUUCGUUUGGUUGCCGCAGGUUUCGGCGUCAGCGGCGGCGGCAGCGUCAGCGUCAAUGAAGACAGUUGUUGUUCGUUUCGCAGACGCUGCCGCUGCCGCAUACUAUAUCGCGACCGCAGGUUUUAUCGGCGUCAGACGCAGCUUCCUGCGUCAACGAAACGAACAAGAGUUGACGUAGAAUGUUGACGCUGCCGCUGCCGCCGGUACCUGCGGCAACCAAACGAACAGCCCUAUGGAUUCAUAUAGAUAACCACGACUUUGUAUGUCUAUGUUUUUAUGUUGGGUUGUGUCAGUUUUAGAGCAAUCCUAGAGAGCAGUAGUGGAUCCUCUGAGAAGCAUAACCAAGAUUUUGUCCUUCCCGACGAUCUUGUACGUCUCAUAUUGCCCCGUCUUGCUAUGAAGGACAAUAUACGCUGUUCUGUUGUGUGCAAGACAUGGAGUGAAAUUGCUGCUGCCUCUGUCCGCCUUAAAGAUAGACCUUACUGGCUUAUGUAUCUUAUUACAUGUAAUAAUACCCGCGGGGGAGUCUCCUACGGUUUUUACGACCCUAUAGCGAAGAAGAAGACAAAGGCAAUGACUGUACCCGAGUUAUCCAUGGAUUCGAAAAUCUUUUGUUCCAAUGAUGGUUGGCGUUACUCAUCAAAGACUAUUCUCCACAUGGCAACCUUUGCUUCUUCAAUCCUUUUACCCGAGAGCGCAUAAACUUGCAUUUUCCUAAACACACGAUAUGUAGCACGACAUUUGCUUUCACUUGUGCUCCUACAAAGACGGGUUGUUUGCUGGUUGGUAUUGAAGGUUUCCCGGAUAGUGUUAGUGUAUACACCACCAUCAGCACUUGGCAUCCUGGUGCAGUUACAUGGGUACAUGAGGAGUUUCGUAACGAGAUUUCUUCUCACUCUAGGCACACACAAAACAUAAUACAUUCGGAUGGUCUCUUUUACAUGGCUACAGAAAUUGCGUUAGGGGUAUUCGAUCCAUCUGCGCGUACGUGGACCGUUCUCCCUAUGCAACCCAUCCUUGGCGUUGGCCCUCGGAUGAGAACAUUGAGGUGGAUGACUGAAUAUGCAGGACAGAUAUUUCUUGUAGAUGCAUCAUAUGUGGAGCCGGUGGUGUUUAGGCUUAACCAAGUGGAGUCGGUGUGGGAAAAGAAAUCAACACUGGAUGGCUGCUCAAUAUUUGUGAGCAAUGGGUCAUGCGUGAUAACCUCAGGGUCAAUGAGUAACAUUCUCUAUAUCUGGAAUAAUGAUAUCAACGGGAGGCGUCCAACCAAGUAUAUGUGUACCUUUAAACGUAAUCGCCCCUACAAGUAUUCUUUAUAUAACAGGAGUUUAUGUGAAGAUCCUGAAGGGUAUUACUUUGAAUAUCGGACAAGGAGGGAUAUAGAUGGUGUCUGGAUCGAGCCCCCCCAAGACGUCUCUAUCUAUGAUUUCUCCAUUAUUGAUCCCUCUGUUGCCAUAAAUACAUGUCUUUUUUUUUUGAAUUUUCAGCUUGAUCUAUUCCUCUUUAAGAUCUAAAGCUUUAUUUUUAUUGCAUCUUAUCAGAUAUGUUGUGUAUUGUGACAAUGAAGAGAUGACUAUGCUGUUUCUAUGUAACUAGAUACUUUUUUUGUUAAAAAUGGCUCUUUGGAUUUUGAUUAGUGAUGUUCAGAGAGGAGCAGCCACUUGUGUAGGACAUUUUCCUGGAAAUAGCAAUAACAUGUACACACACAGCUACUUCACAAGCACAAUCUAUCACCGUUGACUUUAGACUAAAGAUUUUUUAGUCAGUAAGACUUCACAAGCACACUAUACAACAAACAUUACAAGGAACACGUAAGAUCUAAAAUGAUAACAGAUGACUUAACAUAAGACAAACAAACUAGAAUAGUUACUUUGCAAAAAUAAAAACUGAACAAUUGGCCAUUCAAACAAUCAUAACUAUCAUAUAUGAAAUUUAGUCAACAACGAUUUUGAUGCUCAAUCUUCUAACAAUACGUACAAAAUUCACGGAUAGGAUGAGUAACAAAGAAUAUGGGGGUGAUUGGUAGUUGCUGUAGGUGCUGUGCACAGCCCUAUUUAUUUCUACAGCACCAAAUUCAGAGCAAUCAAGCUUUAAAUGUUUUUUUGAAACCACAACUCUUAAAAUAAUCUACAGCUGUACAAGUGCUCUGCAGAGCCAAAUAUCCAAAGCAAUAUUUUAGUGCUUUCCAUAAAAUUCUACAGCAAUAAAAUCUAAAACCAAAGCAAAAAGUCUACAGAUUUUUUUCUACAGCAAAAUUUUAAAAGCUACAGCCAUUACCAAUCAGACCCUAUAUAACAAAACUCUUAAACUUGAAAAUAAAUAUAAACAAAAUCAUUUAACAAAUAUAAAACAUACUCAAAAAAAUAUAUAGUAAUAUAAUUAUAUACAUCACACAUCAGGUAUAUCCUGCGCGUAAUGCAGAUCGACUCUAGUAAAUGCAUAAAAUGUGUUUGAAAGACUUAAACAAUACGGAAAAUCCACAUUUGCUCAAAUCAAUUUCAAGGUUCUGUUUGGUAAAUUUCCUUAAUUUUAUGAUUAGAAUAAUAAAAUAAUAUAAUAUAUUUACAUGACUAAUCUAUUUUUGUAAGGCUUUUAAGAAUAAAGUACAAAGGAUCAUUAAAUCCCGAAAUGGGCUCGAGAGAGUUCUGAUUUCGGGGUCAUGAAUCAGGUUUAUUGUAUCUGUCAGAAGUUUUUGAGUUCUCCAUCAAUGAGUUUGUGGGAAGCUUCUCUCAGUUGGCUGCGUGGGUGAGAAAAUCUCUUAUCCUUUUCUGAUUAUUGUCUUACAUCAGCUCAGUAGUAUUGUAGUCUUGUCUCCUUGUAAUUGUGACGAUGACAAUGGUUCUAAUCUGCAUGUUCUGUAGUUUUUUUUUAUUUUUCUAAAGAGACAAAUCCAAUAAUUUGAUGUCGCCAUGUGGAUUUUGAUUGCCAUGUAAACAGAUUCAGUGAAUGCUUAUGCAGCCUCUUCUUCAAGCAAGAAAUGGAACUUUCUUUGAUGGGCCUUCAAAAUGCAGGAAAGACAGCACUUAUCAAUGCUGUUGAUGUAACUAUAUAUACUACUUCCUCGGAAACCCAUUUCACUUGUAUUAUUUAUACAGUUUGAUAUGGUGGUUAGGAGGGUAUCUAAUAUGCUUUUUUUCUUGUUUAGAAUGUUGGAUAUAGUGAAGACCUGGAUCCUACGGUAAGUGUGUUAUAUAAUUUUAUCUUCAAGAAACAAGAGAUCAUCAAUACCAGAAUAUAUAUAACAUUUUUGCAGAUUGGUUUUCACAUGAGGGAAGUGACAAAAAGAAAUGUUAUUUUGAAGCUACGGGAUGGUAGUGGGCAAUCAGGAUUCCGCAGCUUUUGGGAAGGUUUUUGCCGCGAUAAUCCUGCCAAAGUGUAAAAAGGAUCUUCUUCAACUAUCUCAAAGUCUCUAUAUUGUCUUCAUAUUCUCACGUUGGAGUCCUUUUGUCCUGGUAGGUAUGUAGUUGAUGCUGCAGAUGUUGACAAUCUAUUUAUCUCGAAAAAAGAACUCCAUAAGUUGUUGAGCAAGACUUCGCUUAACGGUAUCCCUCUUCUGGUUCUUGGGAACAAAAUGGACGAACCUGGAGCUCUGUCUAAAGAUGCCUUCACUGAAGAAAUGUAUAAUUAACUGUUUCUUUCUUUCUCCAAAAACAUCUUCCAUCUGAUCAUGUUUUUUUAUUGUGUGGAUUACAGGGGGCUUCAGUUGCUUUCAGAUAGAGAAGUCUGCUGUUUCAUGAUAUCAUGCAAGAACUAUACCAACAUUGAUCAGGUCUUUGAUUGGCUCCUAUCAAAAUUAAAGAACUAAAUAUUCUCUCUUCUUGAUCUUCUUAGUCGUUCUGUGUUGUGUGCCUCGUUGGUUGAUGAUGAUCAUUCAUGGUUGAAGACAAUUUUAAAGAAUAGUUUGUCCCUAAUUUUCUUGUCUCUGUUGCUGCUCUGGUCUCUACAUGUGAAAUUUUGGAAACACAAACAAAGUUUCUCACUUUUAUAUGUACAAAAACAAAAAAACAAAAAAAUAUCUGGUGCUUAGUAGAUAAAUAAGCUCUGUGCUGCUCCAUACGCUAAACGAUUAUUAUCUCUAUAUGGACAAACCAUUUGGUGAUUGUCCCUUGAGCUCCUGUCCUGGAAUCCUAGGUUGAUUUUGCUGUGAGGACACUGACCAUUCUCACAAGUGAAACCUGGUCUCUCCAUCAUGACAACAUUCUUUCUGACCUUGGAGAAGAAGAAGAAGCAGGGAGAGUUGAGUGGACGUAGAUGAUGACGUGGAAGCAGUUAAUUCAACGGAAGAGUUUGUUUGUAUGAGAGAGUAGCUUUUGAGAAUUGUAAUCAGGAUCUAAAGACUAGAAGUCUUGGAUUAGGCUCUCGGCGUGUGAGACGUCAAGAGAAGUUGUAUUGAGGUGGUUACUUUCUUAUCAAAUAAUACAUACAAACAGGGGCGGACCCACGUGUAGUGAUGUGGGGUCACUUGACACAACAAAAACAAUAAAAGCUCACUCCACUCAUUGAUGAAGAAGAAGAAAGAGGAGGAGGACAUGAGUCCGGAUAGAGCUCCCGGGCCAUAAACCUCUUCUUGGUUGAUAAAUGGCAAGCCAAGUAGCACUCUCUUUCGCCUGUCAUCUUAUCUUGCAAGCAUUUUGAUUGCCUCACAAGCUUUUCGCAAUAUCAGGGGACAUAUAUGCUUGAUAACGGCGGUCAAAACAACACCGACUUUCCGAGCUGAGGCCACCACGGCGGUGGAACACCUUUCUCCAAAAGAAACAAACAGACAAAAGCGACCCAAGAGUUGUGUCUUAAAGCUCCUGAAGUGUGUGCGGCGUUGGUCCAACCAAACUAUUACAAUCGUUACGGAGACCUUGGAGCAGGGCAACGGAGAUGAACGAAAGGAUUUAAAUGCCUGGAGCAUGCAUGCAAACUUAUGUCUUUUCAGUUUCUUUCAUUCAUCAUUAACAACAAGUUUACGUCGGUACAACUUUGGACAAAGGAUAAGCUUGGAGUUCUCAAGGCAAAGCGCAUUAUAAGAUGUUGCAAGGUCCGUCGCAUAAGAAGGAUUUCACGGUGGAGACUUGAUCGGAGCGGACAAAGACAAUGGCGGUGGAGACUUCUAUAUUUUUUUAGGCUGGCCACAUCUUUGCUAACACAUGGCUUCCAUUACCUUUUUUUAUCUUUAUUUUCAUGUGUAAUAUUCGGUUUGUCUAAACUAAAAGUUUGUACCAAUUUUAAGUCCUUUGGGAACUUUUCAAUAAAAAGUAUGUUAACACAAAAAUAUGUUUGACAAAUGAUAAAUCCAAUAACUAAAAUAAAAUUUAUAAAAUUUAUUUUCAUAAUAAACUGAUAAACUAAAGUCAAACAAACUUUUUUCCUUAUUAAUUACCUUUAAUUAGUUUUGCAGGGCCACCAAACAUUAUAGUAUGCCCCCAAUAUUUUUCAAUGUGUGCCUUUCUUCUCCCAUACCACCCAUCAAAAUCAGUUACUUCCUCACUAUUCACGUCUGCCACACCAAUGACUUUCUGUGUUUUAGCAUCUACUACCGAGCAAUCACGAGCAUAUGCAUAAAGUCGCGGAUCAUCUACGUGCUUAAUUAGUAGUCCAUUUCCCAUCGGACUAGUCAUUGAGUUUGGAAUUGUGAACAAUUCGCCACCCCAAUAAACUUGGUCUGCAUUGUAUGCUAAAUCAGUGAAUAGUUUAGCUGGCCAAAAACCAAGAGCCUUUUGUUUCUUUCCUUUUCCAGUGAAUAACCACCAGUUUCCAUUUUGUGGAUCCUUAAAAAAAACACAAGUUUAAAGAUAAGUUUUAUUAUAUUAUAAGGUUCAUGACAUAGUUUAAACAUGAAAACACAAAAGUAAUUGUUUUUUGGAUAAAUUACAAACUUUUAUAAAUUAACUUACUCGGUAAAUGUAAAAUCUACAUUCCAUUAUUCGCACAGCGAUCUCUGAGACUUUGGGAAAUGCAUAAUCAAGAGGACUAUUGUUGUUCACUAUCACAAAACCGGGGCAGUUCGUAUUGAAACAGUGUUGGUCACGUGUCUAUACAUGAAGAAAAUAUUAAUCUGAUAUUAAUAAAAUAAAGAAGAAAAUCCUUAUAAUGCUUGAUUUAUUUGAAAGUAUAACCUUUUUUUUUUGAAAGUAUAACCAUUUUACGUGAUGUAUGUAGAGCUUACAUGGAAAUAUGCAAAUUUUCGGCAACGAUUGUCUCCAUAAAGCGUAGGGUUAACCUGUAAAAAGGCAAUUUAAUCAAAAUAAUAACUACUUUGUCUGUAUUUUUUAUUUACUUAUUUUUAUUUUUGUUUAAUAAGUUACGUGAAAGCUAUGAAUGUUAUGUUAUACCGUCCAACCAGCCUUGAUGAAAUCUGUACCGUUGGAAACUUUUAUUAAACCAGAAGAGAAUUGAAGUUGAUGAACCAUUGGAGUUUGGUAUAAACUGAAAUGAGCAAAUCCUCCUGCAAAAUCCAUAUCUACGUACUUACUUAUGACUCUGUUUCCUGCAUACUAUUAAAUUUCACUAUUUUUAAUGUAACUUAUUAAAGAAAAUACUAAUACAUUUGUUUAUAUAAAAAAUAAAUGGAGAAAGAGAGGAAAAUUUAUGUACAUGUAAACCCGGUUCGGAAUUGGUUAGAGGAUGAACAUUUGAGUCAAACAUUUGGUUGAAUGUCUUUUGUCUGAUAAGAUCUUCUUUGGUAGUUUUUCUUAUUGGGACUGUGCCAUGUGGGCAUUCAACUUCUAUUUCAUUGUCACCUUCUUCUUUCUCUUCUUCUUUUUCAACUUCCUCUAGUCCAUUCAUGUUGCUUGGUCUCAUCUAAUGGGGAAAAUAUGCAAUUUUAAAAUAAUGAUAAUUUAAAAUUAUUCCUGACAUAAUAUUUAUUCAUAAGUAUAAAAGAUUAUUACUUCAGGAUGAAACUCAUGGCUCUUCAAGAGGGCAUGAUCAAACGCAGGUUGUUUGUAAAAAUCUAUACAAUCAUAGAUAUCACCAUAUUCAGUCUGAAAAACAUAAAUACAACAAAAACAAAAAAAACAGUGAGGUUUUAUAGAAGAAAAAUAAUAACUGAAAAGUUAUAUAUGUACAAAAAUAUAUGAAUAAAAAUAAAGUAAAGCACGAACCUUGACUGUCUUAACAGAUGGUUUAUUUAUAAGCUUAAGUUGUCUCUCUAAUUUCAAAUCUUCUUCAUAUAAUUCUCUAGUUGUAGGCUUUGCAACACAACUUAACGCAAAAACGGCUAAAACGAAAAACUUCAUCCCAAACAUACUAAGACAAUUAUUAUUUCUUUUUGGAUGGUUGUUUUCUCCUAACCCCAUACACACAUACUUAUAUGAUUUAUUAUGAGCGCUUAUACAUUAUUUGAGUUACAAAGAAUUUGAAACUUUAGUAAUUUGAGAAUAAUAGGAAGUUUGCGAUUUCGUUUUGACGAAAUCUACCAUUGAUAACUAGGAAAGAAUAUGAUAUGAAUUGCACCAAAUCUUGAGUUUGAAAAUACAGAGGAAUAUGCAGUGGCAUAUUCUAUCUUUCUUCUAUUAUCUAGGAGGAAUUUGGAUUUUGGGCUCUAAUAUAUCUCCUACCCUCGAAUCAAUCUUACUAAUACAAUUCAUGGCUGAAUGUAUGACUAGGGAUGAUUAAACGGGCCAGGACUCAUACCGUAUGACCUUGGAGACCGUCACUCCUAUCCUCUACGACGUCGUCAACGAUCUCAAGGG